ACCCUAGCACGGGAAAAGGCCGGAAGGUCCCAUGACGUCAGGAGGGCUCGGGAAAGGGGUUCGGAACCGGUCCAGGCUCAAGUUAAAUCUCCCUCUAAAGAGCCAACACUGGUUUCUUUGGCGACUCGGUUUCUACUCUAAACAGGUCCCGCUCCACAGUCUGGGCGGGCCUUGUGUGCGUUGAGUAGCCUCUAGCGUGAAAACUUCAUGGUUAAAAGGGAAGUACCGGAGGCAAGAAAUAGCUUUCGAGGCACUGGUUUGUUAGAGUAGUGGUACGUAGUGCGCCGCCCUGAACGGGGGCUGAGACGCUGCUUUUCCAGAAGUGCCAGUGAGGACGUGGCAAGACCGCCUCGGACGUACGCUUCCUCUACCUCAGCCCGUCGGGUUAGGGGCGCGGGAGGCGCAGAGGCUGCUGGGAACGCGCAUGCGCUCAGCGCGGCGGGGAGUCCACCUUUAACGUCCGCGGGCGCGGGGUGUGUCGGGUGUCGACGGCGGCGCUUUGCGGCCGGUCGUGCGGGUCCGGCGCGGGCGGGCGCGGCGGCAGUGGCGCGCACAGGUGAUUGACUGGCCAGCUGCCUGAAGGAGCGCCAGGUCCUCCUUGCUGGCAGGUGGCGGAGCCCAUUGGGGCGGCAGUGCAGACCGCGGCGGCGGCUGCGGCGGUCUGGCUCGGGAGGCGUUCCUGGGGCCAAGGCCAUGGCCCCACGGCUGCAGCUGGAGAAGGCGGCCUGGCGCUGGGCGGAGACGGUGCGGCCCGAGGAGGUGUCGCAGGAGCACAUCGAGACCGCUUACCGCAUCUGGCUGGAGCCCUGCAUUCGCGGCGUGUGCAGACGAAACUGCAAAGGAAAUCCGAAUUGCUUGGUUGGUAUUGGUGAGCAUAUUUGGUUAGGAGAAAUAGAUGAAAAUAGUUUUCAUAACAUCGAUGAUCCCAACUGUGAGAGGAGAAAAAAGAACUCAUUUGUGGGCCUGACUAACCUUGGAGCCACUUGUUAUGUCAACACAUUUCUUCAAGUGUGGUUUCUCAACUUGGAGCUUCGGCAGGCACUCUACUUAUGUCCAAGCACUUGUAGUGACUACAUGCUGGGAGACGGCAUCCAAGAAGAAAAAGAUUAUGAGCCUCAAACAAUUUGUGAGCAUCUCCAGUACUUGUUUGCCUUGUUGCAAAACAGUAAUAGGCGAUACAUUGAUCCAUCAGGAUUUGUUAAAGCCUUGGGCCUGGACACUGGACAACAGCAGGAUGCUCAAGAAUUUUCAAAGCUCUUUAUGUCUCUAUUGGAAGAUACUUUGUCUAAACAAAAGAAUCCAGAUGUGCGCAAUAUUGUUCAACAGCAGUUCUGUGGAGAAUAUGCCUAUGUAACUGUUUGCAACCAGUGUGGCAGAGAGUCUAAGCUUUUGUCAAAAUUUUAUGAGCUGGAGUUAAAUAUCCAAGGCCACAAACAGUUAACGGAUUGUAUCUCGGAAUUUUUGAAGGAAGAAAAAUUAGAAGGAGACAAUCGCUAUUUUUGCGAGAACUGUCAAAGCAAACAGAAUGCAACAAGAAAGAUUCGACUUCUUAGCCUUCCUUGCACUCUGAACUUGCAGCUAAUGCGUUUUGUCUUUGACAGGCAAACUGGACAUAAGAAAAAGCUGAAUACCUACAUUGGCUUCUCGGAAAUUUUGGAUAUGGAGCCUUAUGUGGAACAUAAAGGUGGGUCCUACGUGUAUGAACUCAGCGCAGUCCUCAUACACAGAGGAGUGAGUGCUUAUUCUGGCCACUACAUUGCCCACGUGAAAGAUCCACAGUCUGGUGAAUGGUAUAAGUUUAAUGAUGAAGACAUAGAAAAGAUGGAGGGGAAGAAAUUACAACUAGGGAUUGAGGAAGAUCUAGCAGAACCUUCUAAGUCUCAGACACGUAAACCCAAGUGUGGCAAAGGAACUCAUUGCUCUCGAAAUGCAUAUAUGUUGGUUUAUAGACUGCAAACUCAAGAAAAGCCCAACACUACUGUUCAAGUUCCAGCCUUUCUUCAAGAGCUGGUAGAUCGGGAUAAUUCCAAAUUUGAGGAGUGGUGUAUUGAAAUGGCUGAGAUGCGUAAGCAAAGUGUGGAUAAAGGAAAAGCAAAACACGAAGAGGUUAAGGAGCUGUACCAAAGGUUACCUGCUGGAGCUGGUCUGUAAGAUAUUCUGGGACAGCACUGUUGCCAUUAAGUGCCUUGUUUUUUUAUGUUCACAAAUGUAUAUGAAGAAACUUUCUCAAACUUACUCUUUCUAAUAACCCACUAAAGCCAGCUUAAACACUCUAAAAGUACUUUGUAAACCAACAGUAACUUGAUGUGUAGCAUUCCAUAUUAUUUCAUUACGUUGUACUCCUAAAAAUGGGAAGCUGUUAAUAAAUUAUAACAUUUAGGUCAGCACUCUGCAUCCAUGAGUAUUGUAGAUAUUUAUAUUUUGUGAGAUAUUAACUUGUUUAAGAAAAAUCCGAUUGGAUUACUAUGGAAAAAGCAACUUGCCUGUUCUGUUUCUUUGCAUACUUUGUGACCUAACAGUUUUAACAGACAUUCUAUUAUAUGAAUACAGUUUUUUUGAUACUAUUAGAUUAACUUGAAGUUUAAUACCAAAUAUUAUGCUAAGAGUAGAAAAGCUUUCUGCUGACCCCUGAUUUCUUAGAAAUAUCCCACAUAAUCCAGCUUAUCCCUUUUCUGUAUAUGUUUAUUCAGGUUUACCUGAUGUCUCAAAAUGAAACCAAAUUAAGCCUUUUUAAAGGCUGAUGUGCCAUUUGUAUUAAGUUAUCUUUGUCAUUUUAAAGACAUGAAUUCCCCAAGCCUAAUUCCUACUUAAGGAAGAGAGACAAUUUAGUCCUUACUUUAGAAAAUAAAUACUUAAGCAUAAUUGUACUUGUGGUUUGUCUUUUUAAUAUCUUAAUUUUCCAUUACUAGUAUAACUUUAAGCAAAAUGUAAACAAAAAUUGCCAAGUCUAUAAGAAUAUAUUUUAACUAAAUUUUAAUUCAAUUCUGACCCUUCUUUGUAAUCUGUUACUUUAACUCUGUCCAAGGGUUGGGAUUAUCCUAAAUAAUUAAACUGACCUUAAUGUAACUGGAAAUGAUUUGGAAAUGAACCCAUGAUUCAGAUCUCUAAAUUUAUAGGUCUUUGUUCAAAGGUGUCGGGACCUAGAAAUCUAUUUUCCAAACUUUAUUCACGGUUUCCUGUGUCCACUGGGCAAGAGAAAGGGACUUAAUUGGGUCUAAAGUGAAAUACUCAUUUGAACCACUCUUUAGAACUAUAGAGUUCAAAGAUGUUAUGUGUCAAGUUAGCACUGUGCUUCCUUUGGCUGUUUUCAUUCAGCAUAUAGGAACCUUAUGUUCUUAGAAUAUGCUUAUGUUCUUAGAAUAUUUCUCUGUGUUAUUUAUACUUUUACCAAUUAUGAGCUAUAUAAUUCUUUUCCAUUUGCAGUAAACUUAUAUUGUAGACAGUCCACGCUGUAAAAUUAUGUAGAAUCUCAAAGUUAAUGAGCAUGGUUUUGUGCUGGCAAGAGAAGUCUUUUGUUAUGCAUUUUCUAAAUCUUAUUUUUGUGUGUGAACAUAUUUAAAAAAACAAAGAUCACUUACCCUAAAAUCUGAGCCUCAGUAGGAACGUGCUUUUGGCCCUUUUUAUUUCCAUUGAAAUAUACUUAAAUUAUCUCUAGGUAAAGUGUUUUCAGAUGUUUUUGAUGCUGUGAUUGUUCUAGACUUUAUAACUUUCCAAAGAAAAUGUGUCAUGUUCAAAAUCCAGGUUUUUUUUUUUCUUUUUAAAGAACUUUGAACCAAAAUGUAUAUUUCCCUGUGGUAAAUAUUUUAAUAUUUUGCUUUCCUCAUCAAAUGCUGAGGUUUCAUAUAGUCUGGUAUCUCCAGCUUGAUAAUGGGAGAGUUCUCCCUCAUUUGGAGUUGAUUAUGUCCAUGGCCUUUGGAAAGCAAUGCUUGUAGUUUACUGAAUCACAAAUACUAGGGAAUAUAUUUGAGGGGCCUACUUAGAGUCUUUUUCUAGUGCAGAAACAUCUGUAGUGUAAAAACUUUGCCACAAACAGAAUCUGCCUUAACUAUGAGACUUGUGCUCCACUUGUAUUCUCAGGCAAGCUCUUGGCAGAGUCAGUGCAACUCUUUAUGAUGAUAGAGACUGAAAAUGGAAAGAAAGACAGACUUCUGUGACCAUAGUCACUCUUCCUUCAUGGAGCCCACAGCGCACUAAAGUGAAAUCUGGAGAAUUUGCUGUUAGUAGUAAGCAUGGUAUUAGAUUAGAAUUAUAGGCCUGUUCUCUGCUUUCUGUCUUCCUCCUCUUACUAUAAAACCGUACAUAGUUUUUCUAAUCAUUGUAUCUUAACAUUAAAUUUAUAUUGAACAAUUCAAAAACCAAAACAACAAGCUUUCCUUGGAAGUUUUCUGUGAGAUUGGAAAAUGUUGUCUUGCCUUUGAGCCACCUUGUUGCUGGACAGUCAGGGCCACAGUCACCCUAGGCUUUGAAUUCCUGCAGACAUCCCCUGGCAAGGAGGGCUUUGUGCAUUUUGAGCUUUCCUAGAUUCCUUUCAUUGUGAGGGCCAGGAUUCUUAGGGUGUUUUCUUUCAGUUAGCAAUAACAGAUACUGCUGUCUGUCCACUCCUCCCCAGCUGCUGGGGAAACUAGGAUGCCUAGUGACUUAUUCUUGAAUGUUGCUCUUUAUCACAAUCCUGUUUUUUCUCCUUUGAUAGCCUUCAUAUUGCUUACCAUUUUAAUCUAAUUGACUGUCCUUGGGAAAAGAUUAGAGUAUGCUAAGACUUUUAUCUUGCUUUCAGAAAGGGAUCAUUUAUCUUUGCAUUCCCCAGAUACCCAGUGUACUCUAUCCCUGGCAGAUUAAGCUUGAUAAAUGGCAAAUAAAGUCAGGAGGCAUUUUGAAUGUAAUUAGCCAUAACAUGAUAUACUGUAAAGUGCUGCAGCUGUGUUACAUAUACUGCAUCUUAAAGUCUCCUCUUUUUUUUUUUUUUUGAGAUGGAAUUUCACUCUUGUUGCCCAGGCUAGAGUGCACUGGUGCAAUGUCAGCUCACCACAACCUCCGUGUCCCGGGUUCAAGUGAUUCUCCUGCCUCAGCCUCCCGAAUAGCUGGGAUUACAGUCGUGUGCCGCCAUGCCAGCUAAUUUUUUGUAUUUUUAGUACAGACAGGGUUUCUCCCUGUUGGUCAGGCUGGUCUCAAACUCUGGACCUCAGGUGAUCUGCCCGCCUCGGCCUCCCAAAGUGCUAGGAUUACAGGCGUGAGCCACCGUGCCCAGCCAAGGUCUCCUCUUUUAUAUAUUAAGUUUACGUAAAUGUAUAAUUAACUUUUCCAUAUCUCUUUUCUUCCAAAAAGCUCAAAAUGCUUCACAUAGCUUAUCUUUUAUACUCAACAACAUUCCCAUGAGGUAGGUAGAAGGCAGGUAUUAUUACCUUCAUUUUACAAAUAAAAGACUGGAAACAUAGAAAGUUUAAGUGACUUGUUCAGGUUCAUUUUCUUGGUAGCAGAACUUGGAUUAGACCGUGACCUCGACUCACAGUCCUGUGCUCUUCCUCAGGAGCCACAUUCGACUUGACCAGUUAGAAGGCUCUUAGUUGAUGAUGUACAGUGCCAAAUUUUGUUUUCAUAAAAAUUGAGAUGGUUUACUGUAAAAUUAAAAUGGGAGUUAGUUUUCUAGACAUGUAACUCUCUGGGGAGUAUAAAACUGGUCACAAUGGGCUUUGCGUUGAAGUAUCUGUCCCUCAGAUCUCAUCAGAAGGAGUAUAUAAUACAAAAAUAUAAAUUCAACCUCUGUAUGUUUUCUUCUAUGUUUUAUGCUGGGACUCACUGGAGAUCUUUAGCCCUAUGAGUUUGUCUCUCUGGAAUGGCUGCAAAAGUGGUUGGAUGAAUCAACACCUACCAAACCUAUUGAUAAUCACGCUUGCCUGUGUUCCCAUGACAAGCUUCACCCGGAUAAAAUAUCAAUUAUGAAGAGGAUAUCUGAAUAUGCAGCUGACAUUUUCUAUAGUAGAUAUGGAGGAGGUCCAAGACUAACUGUGAAAGCCCUGUGUAAGGAAUGUGUAGUAGAACGUUGUCGCAUAUUGCGUCUGAAGAACCAACUAAAUGAAGAUUAUAAAACUGUUAAUAAUCUGCUGAAAGCAGCAGUAAAGGGCAACGAUGGAUUUUGGGUGGGGAAGUCUUCCUUGCGGAGUUGGCGCCAGCUAGCUCUUGAACAGCUGGAUGAGCAAGAUGGUGAUGCAGAACAAAGCAACGGAAAGAUGAACGGUAGCACCUUAAAUAAAG